rnacentral:rRNA from 1 species
UCCGUAGGGUGCGAGCGUUGUCCGGAAUUAUUGGGCGUAAAGAGCUCGUAGGCGGUUUGUUGCGUCUAUCGUGAAAACCUGCAGCUUAACUGUGGGCUUGCGGUGGAUACGGGCAGACUUGAGUUCGGUAGGGGAGACUGGAAUUCCUGGUGUAGCGGUGAAAUGCGCAGAUAUCAGGAGGAACACCGGUGGCGAAGGCGGGUCUCUGGGCCGAUACUGACGCUGAGGAGCGAAAGCGUGGGGAGCGAACAGG